rnacentral:rRNA from 1 species
AAUCAACGCUGGCGGCGUGCCUAACACAUGCAAGUCGAACGCGAAAGGGGCUUCGGUCCUGAGUAGAGUGGCGUCCGGGUGAGUAACGCGUGGGUAAUCUACCCUUGGUGGGGAUAACCAGUCGAAAGAUUAGCUAAUACCGCAUAAUGCAGCGGCUCGACAUCGAGACAGUUGUUAAAGCAGCAAUGCGCCAGAGGAGGAGCCUGCGUCUGAUUAGCUUGUU